CGCGCUGGCCGCACGAGUCGUCCUCCGCCUCCUCCCUCCUCUUCCUCGCCAUCAAGAUCGUCGCCCCCGCUUCCCUGAAAGUGAUCCAUCAAAAUAUUCAUGGUCCUCCUGUGUGGCUCCUCCAAAUCCUAUGCAAGUAUGUUUUCAUGUGAUCUCUUUCUUGUUAUGUGACUGUAUAAUCUUGCAGUUGAUCGGCACCAAAUCCUAUGCAAGAGUGCUCUAGUUGUAGUGUUGUGGUUGAUGCUUGUUGUUGUAUAUGACAUUUGAGCUCACACGAAGGACCAGAAGUACGUCGAAACUUCUCAUGGAAUCAUGUUGAUAAUAGGAGACAUUAAAGUUUGAGAUAUUCCGGCGUUUCUACUCUCACUCCACCGGUGGUGCAUACAAAUGCGGAACCGAGUUCACAGAAAAGUCUAAUUAGGCUCCUGGUCUCCUUAGCGAUCAAAAUUCGAUGGAUCUGUCAUCCUCAAAUGUGAUCGGGGCACAUUGGGUAUGAACUCCGAUUUAUGUCUUCUAAUUGUGGUGGACACUGUCCCAUGCAAUGUAGAGCCCGCCUGACAUCUAAAAACUCUCUACCAAGAAGAGCAGCAGCAGCAGCCGAACGGUAGAACGGUAGGUAGGUGCAAGGGAGCAUGUUUUGUAAUCUGAUACUCUUGUUGUUGUUUAUGUAAAAUUGAAAUAGCCAAAGGCAAUUUGGCUGCUUUGGCUGUGUGUUAUUACAGCCUCGUUUGCGUUGCGAGAAAUGUAGAAAGAUAAUAAUUUGGUCGAUUCCAAAUACUUUGAACUUUAUGAUUUUGUUAUUAUUGUUUAA